rnacentral:SRP_RNA from 1 species
GCCAGGCGUGGUGGCACACGCCUGUAGUCCCAGUUACUUGGGAGGCUGAGGCAGGAGAAUCGCUCGAACCUAGGAGGCAGAGGUUGCAGUGAGCUGAGAUUGCGCCACUGCACUCCAGCCUGGGUGACAGAGUGAGACUCUGUCUCAA